CAACUAUUCAUUUCAGUUUGUAUGGUCCAGGUUGUGUUUUAAAUAGGCAUGAGGAAUGUCUUAUAUUGAUAUGAAAGUUUCAAUAAUACCAGCUGAAGAAAGUUGUAACAAGAUGGAUCUAUUCUGCAACCUUCAUACUACAUCAGAGAAUGAUUUUUGGGUUGGUUUUUUUUUUUUGGUCAACUUAUAUUCCUUGCCUGUCUUUUACCAAAAUAGGUUCUUCUGUCAACAAACUGAAUUUAGCGUAUCUUUAAACCCUCCAGUGUUUUGAAUGUUUUUUGGUCAAAUGUCUGUGUAAAGGUGGUUCUGUGUUUCAAUAACAACCUUACUGUCCAUCCACAGUUACUGACUUGUGGGCUUUUUUUAAAGUCUUGUGAUGCUUCAUGACUUACACAUUAAAAAAGAAAAUGUUAUUGCAGAGAAUGGACUGUGUUUCGGUGCACAGAAAAAAAAAACUUUUCUAAAAGUUUUAUGAUUUCUGGACCAAUCUCAUGACCCUCUGUGGUCUCUCUUGACUUCUGACUGGCAUUCUGAGCAUUCCCCACUCUCUUUGCAGCACAUAAGCAGGUAGCCCAACACCACCAGGGUUAGAGUUCCAACUCUGGAAAGAUUCGGGAUUUUUCUGUAAGGAUGGGAUGGUGAUUCAUUCUGAGCUCUCACAAGACUAUCAUGCAGCUGCCCCUGUUUCAAAAUCAGCAGCCGCGCCAGCUCGUCUCCAUCAGCCUUGAGAAAACAGGAAACACAACGGUCACCACAGGAAGCGGUGCACUCUUACACACACCCCAGAAAACUUAGCUACUGAACCUAUUGCAAAAUGUUAACAGAACACUGUAGGGUACACAGAGAAAAAGACGAGAAAUCUGCUGACCUCUGGGUGCCUGCAAUUCUAAUCUUCAGUUUCUGAGGCCUAGAGUUUAAUUCAGUCAUCAACACGUCCUGUGUUUUUCAGUUAAAUCCCCUUCAGUAGGACGCUGUUAUCAGAAUGAAUAUUAUUUCGUUUCAUACCCCAAAUUUGUACAGAAGUGCAGUCAGAAGCUUCUUGUCUGUAGGGCUGACAGACAAAGAUAGCAAUAGAAAAGAUGGAGAGGACUAUGUUUUAUUAAUCGUGAUUAACUGUGUACUCAUUUCCUUGGUAACGUGGAAGAAAUUGGUGUUUUUAGGGUGGAGAUAUGUAUGUAGACCUUGUGAUUCAGAUGUUUUUCUUAUUAAGUAAGAUAAUUUGUUUCUCACUUUCUUGGUUGCAAAGAAAAGACUGAACCAUAACGUGGCAGAGAAUAGAAGUGCCCUGUGUAUGUUAAGGAGGAAUUCCUCUGAGUUGGAAAACCUCUUCUUGAGGGUGCUGUGGGACAUGGACACGACUGAGAGAAGCACAGGGUGUUCCACACAAGAAGCAGAAGAGAUGAGAGAUCAUACACUAUGCUAAAAGACUUGCAGUUUGAGGUUUUCUAUUGUGCUUGGGUAUGACAAAUGAUCUUAAAAAUUUCUCCUCCAGAUUCGAAGGGGAACAAAUCCUCAUUAGGUGCUGGUUGCUGGACAAGUAAAAUUUUAGUAGGCACUUUCAAAUUAAAUAAGUUAGUUGAAUUAAAUAAGGUGUAAAAGAAGUUCAGUAAUACAUGGCAGGAGAGGAUCAGAAAUGGAAGGUGAUGCUAGCUAUUUAAACCAGAUCUAGGCAUUAUUUUUCUGUUAGAUGUUUAAUUUGUCCAGUAAAUGGGCAGUUUGAGACUUGGUCCUGGAAAUAACUGAUUUGCAAGUUCUUGCUAAGCUCUCUGAAUUAUUUAGGUUGGGCCGUAGAGGCUGUUGAAAGCUGGAUUUUUGUUGUUGUUGUUUGUUUGUGUCAAAAUUUAUCAAAAGUUGAAGUGAAAAAGUUUUUAACUUUUAUUUGAACGUAAUGUUUUGUUCAACAAAUUAAAUCUUGGUGGAUAUUCACAUUAGUAAGAGAAAUGUGAUAAUGAUUUAGGGUGAAUUAUCUGCCCUCCCUGGUUUGUUUUGUUUGCUUGUUUGUUUGUCUUGAUUUCUUUGUUUUAAAAAUUCUUAAAAAGAAUAAAAAUCAGCCAGUAACAGUCAAAUUAUUCCCAUAGCUCUGACCAAACAGAAACAAAAAGUUCAGAUUCCUGAAGUCUGGUCUUCACAAGUACAGGAAAGCAAGAAGUAUUAAUAGCCAUAUUGCAAGAGUGCUGAGAGUCCUGUACAGAAAGUGAAUAUAUGAAGACAGUGUUAUCAGAACAUUAGAGAAAUAUUUCUAGGAAGUUAGCUUGGAUUUACUCAAGCAGCAAAAUUACAUGCAGUAUCUUUAAGCAAUCUUGCCUGGAUGUGAAUUGCUGACAGAUGAGACAGGCAGCAUGGAUAAAUGCUAUGUACAUCUCUUCAGCCAUUAGUGUAACAUCCUUAAUAUCUUCAUUGUCUGCCUUGUUUCAACUGGUCUUAUUCUAUGGUAAUGGAAAUACAGUUCUACCAAAAAUAAACUGAAUAUUUUACUGGCUACUGUUACUCCGGAGAAUUUCUGUCCUGGUUUCUGUUCUCCAUAUUGAUUUAGUAUGGAGUUCAUGACUUUCAACCCAGCUUACUUUUGAAAAUGCCUAAUCUGAAAUGAAAACUAAAGAAUACUUCAUUUUGAAGUAACUCAUCAUAUACAGAUUGCUUCCAUUUUGCACAGUCAUUCAGCAGGCAGCUGUAACUCCCCUCAUUACGUUAGCUCUCUUAACAGUAACACACUCUGGAAUUUUUCUGAAGCUUACAACCACUUUUUUAAAAGUAUUCUGUGUUUUUUCCUGCAAUAAAAUACAUUUUCAUUCCAUGUGUUCACUGAGAUUAGCAACAUGACCUGUUUUAAUACUAACACAUCCAAUUUCUCUUCAUUUUGAUAUGACAGCUCUCUCUUCCUGCUGGAUAUUUUGAAAGUUCUGAGAAUAUUAGUAGUUGAAGUUGAAGUUUACUGGGCAGAGUACUGCUCUGCUCCUUUUUUCCUGAUAACUAGGAUGGAGUUUUCCUUUUCUCUUGGUGGCACCCUACACAAAAUGUUUGUCUUUUCCUGUCUAGUAUUACUGGCUUUCUGUUUGUUUCUAGGAUAAUCUCCCAGUUCAUGGAUUUGUUUCAGAUUUUCUGUGGAGGUCUUAAUUCGGUGUUUUUAUGUGGACAAAUUACCAUAUCCUUCAACUCCAAGACAUGUCUUACUACUUACUUUGAUUCUUAAUGAAUCAAAUUCUGUAUCUUUGGGAAUGUUAUGCAUAUAUGUAGGUUGCUCCAAAAGUAAUGCCUUCUAGUAAUGUCCGUGGAAACUGCAACAGAGAGUACAGUAGCACUGUUUGAUAGAGCAAGUUUUCAGCUACAAAACACUGUUUUUCAACACAGUCGCUGCCAUUAGUGAUGCAUUUUUACCAGCGAUGAACAAGAGCCUACAUGCUGCACUGAUAAAAGAUUGCAUGGCCAUUUGGAACUUUGCUUGUCUUGUCUUUCACAUUGCUGUUACCACUGCUGAAACACAGCACCAGCUACCUCAGUGGGAUGACAUCCACUGUUUAGUUCCAUAAAUGUUCAGCAACUGUCAGUGAUUGUCAAUGGGUGCAAAUUUUUCUGCAUGAAGAAAUUCAGUGACACACCUUUCUUCAGACACACUUCUGUGGCAGAUACCGUUUUGUCAAGCUACCCCUCUGUUGUCAUCUGUCACACAACAACAAAAUGUAAAGGAAUAUUGGUGGGAAGUUUCAAACUCUACUGCUGUACCACCAACAUAAUAAAGUAGGAGGCAUUAUUUUCAGAGCAGCUCUCAUACUUAAAAUUGGCCCUUUGGAACUCCUUAUCAUGCCCAUGUAAAUGUGAAAAAAUAACCUGUCCUGAGCACAGAGGAGAUCCUUAAAAUAUGUGCUCAUGUGACAGUUCAUCCUAGAGACCAAACAUUCAGAAAUAAACCAUGCUACCACUUUUUUCUCAUCUACUUUAUUCAGCUUUAACUGCAAUUCACAGUUGCUUCCAGAUGUUUUCCAGAGGUCUGAUAUUCAUCCUCACCUCUUUUUAAUUUAGCAAUUACGGAGAUUUCUUUUCUGCUUUUAGCCUAUCCAACAUUAGUAUUAAUAACUUUGGUACUUUUUCUUAAGAACUUCUUAAGUUCUGAAAGAAAAAAAUCACCAUUACCUUCACUCUUAUUACUUUAAUAUGCAAAGCUGUUGUAGAUGAACAGGGAAACCAUGGAUUUAAGUCCUCAUAUGUUUCAUGUGCUUGUUAGACUAGCUCAUACUUUCUGAAAACUGUACUUUAUUCGUGGUCUAAUAUGCAGUAUGAAAAUGAUGUAAAGUGUGAGGCAAGAAAUAGAAGGGAAGGGGUACAUUUUAUGCAAAUGUACUCAGAAAGUGUUCAGGACUGGUGACUUCUAAGUGCUUAGGAAGCUGUGAGAUUGCUGUAGUGCAAAAGGUUCUGGGGGCCUCUCACUGGAGAAAGCAUUGUCUGGUUGGACUUAACACAGCAAUUUACAACUCAAGUAGUUAGGAAACUGCCCUUAAGGCUAGAAAAAUCUCCACCUGUGAAUUAAGGCAUAAAUUGUGUUCAGCUUUAUCAUAUAGGUGCAAAUUUGAAAAUGGAAAACAGUCUUUAAAAUGUGAGCAUAGUCAGGAUUCUUUAAGACCCAAAUGUGCUCUAAAACAGGCUAAGUUACAUUUAAUUACACUUCAAUUUUUUCUUACUAUUUCUUUAGGGAGAACUUUGUUGAAGUGUCAAGCUUCUAUAAUCUCUCCUGCCUAUGCCAGUGCAGUCGCUGAGUUUUGCCUUCCUUUCUUGCUACCUUCCUUUCCACUCUUGCUAUCAAGACUUCAAAGAAGGCCUCACAUAAGUAUCAGAAAUGCACCACAACAGUAAGCAUCAUUUCUCCAGUAGCCAUUCCAUAUCACACCUUUCAGUAGUCAAUAACUUCUUUCUAAUGCCUCAUAACCUAACUUGCCCAGGCUGCAACUACUUAGAACUUGUUUCAUGAAAUAUAGCUCAGGUUUCUUUGCUUAUUGUGUUGGCUGGCACUGUUAAUUGACGGUCCAAGAAAAAUAAGCACACAAACAAAAAGUAUUAGAGCAAUGGAAAAAGGGAAGAAAGAAAUGAGGAUUGGAAGUUCAAAAUGCAGCUUAAUCUCUUUCAUACUAGCAUAUUUUAGUCCAUUAGUUUCUCAAUUCAACUUUAGGCCAAAGCAUUAAUUGAAACUUAAUUUUGUUUCAUUUAAAAAAAAAAGUAAUAAAAAAAAAUAAAAAAGCAGAGAGGAAAAGAAAAAAAGAUGCCCAUGAGAUAUGCGAGGAUGGGUAUAUCUGUGAUAACUUCAGUAUUAGGACUUAAUAAGAAAUGUAAAUGUUUACCUUUUUUCACAGCUUUUACAAUGUGUAGGGAAAGCAAUCUUUCACUUCUUAGACCCUCAAGACUUGACUUUCAUACAUCUUGAGCUUUCUUGGUUUCAAGUGCCAUCAAUUGGAUGUUAAGGCUACCAGGUAAUCUACCAAUAAAUAAUCUAAUCCUCCUCAGAGCUGCAUGUGAUACAUGAAGUAUUUUAUAGGAUUAUCAGUAGUUUCAAAGCUAAACCAGUGCAGAAAAAUAUUUCCAUCUUUUCACAAUAAGAGAAAAAAAAACUAACAUUGCUUUAUUUAUUGCUCAAAACAAAUGCUUUUGCUUUGCCUUAACAAAACCAGUAUCCACAGUAUGCCAAUUAUGUCUUUUGAAUGACAGAGUUUCUACAUGCCAACUCCUAUUCUGGUUCCUUCAUUUUUUCUUAGAGGGGUUAAUUUCCUUAUGUCACAUUUAUCUGACAGAACUCAAGUUAUGGAUAGAGCUGAACUCAGAAUGAACAGAUUUUUGUUUCCCUUUGUGAAAUUGGUAGCAGUUUUAGCCUCAUUUAAAAUUAUGUGUUUUUUCCCAGGUUUCAAUUAUGCAGUUGUUUACAAUACUUUCUGCCUUUGAGGAGACAGCUUGAGUCUGAAUCAGAUGACAGAAUGACUGGACAAUGUUUGUUCUGCUCUGGUCGUUGCUAAGGGAGAGGCUGCAGCUGCCAUAGACCUGAAUGUUAAACCCACACUUGCUUCUUUUGUAGCCCCUGAAGCAUAAAAAAAGCCUUUCUUACUGUGAAAACUUCAGAAGAUCUUCCUCAAGGUGGGCUAAGGACUCCUUUGAGGAUAUCAGCUCAGAUAUUCCAGUUGAGUUUUUUUUUCUUUCUCUUUUUUUUUUUCCCCUUAAAUUUUAUUUUUUUAUUAUUUUUCCAGUGCUUCCUGUCCUGUAUAUUUUUAAUGUUAAUGUCUGCUGAAGAACUGGAGUUUGAUUUUGGUGCAACAUUUUUCAGAACCAUUAGUUUCAGUCUCUAACUUUCAAAACUAUCAGUCUCAGUCUUGAUGACCAUGCACUAUUAAGAUGGGCUUCAUUUAUCACUGACAUUUCCUACAAAGAAAAGCAAUUAGAAUUAUAGAAGGCUUGCGUGGAGGGGAAAGGAAAAAGAUAAAAUAACCAGACCAUUUCUACCCUGCAUUUGUUCCAGCUGGUGACAAGCUUGACUAUGUCUCUCCCCCACCCAUGCAAACAGUGAGCAGUGGUUCUGUAGGUCGCAAAUGAUAUGAUUUUGCAUUUCUGCCUGCCUACUGGUUUGGGCAAAGUAAAGCAGUGGGGCUUUGCAGAGCAGGACAGCUGGUUAAACUGCUUCCUGCUGUCUGAAUCUUUCUUUCUCUUUCAAAGUGAGUUGCAGUAGUCCUUGUGGGAAGGAAGGAGAAGAUGGUGGUUUUGCACAAACAUUCUCAGUGACUGUUCUUUUUUUUUUCUUUGUGGCAAUCUUGGAAUUUCCCAGCAGGCUUUUCUUUCCUGCAGCUCCUCUGAUAUAUUUCUUCUUCAGUUUCCUUGCUAAGUCUCUGAGCCAUAACCAAACUUGUUCACUCUCUUUAGGAAACAUAAUGGAAAACUAACCUUUGAGCCAACCUUUGGAAUGCCAGGGCAGCAAUAACUCCAAAAAGAAGAGGAGGUAGGGCUGCUUCUUGCCUCUCUGGUGGGUGGAUUUUAUCAGAAUAGGUAGUGCUGAUCUGUAUCGCUCAGCCACACCAAGGUUAUACAAAGAGCAGCAAAACCCCAGGAGCAUAACAGUAGGUCUGCUUUUAACCUCAACUUUUAUCUCUCACAGCCAGCUUCCUUCCCACACCACAAGCACCACGUGUUAUUUUAUACCAAGGCAACACUCAGCAACUGAGGUCUGUCUGUCCAUGGAAUGGAAAGGGAAAAGACAGAUGACAGGAACACCAGAUGUGUGGGCAACAUGAGGACUAACAAUUGUGGAGCAAUGUGCCUACAGACCAGUGCUUAACUGCUUCACGUGGCCUUCUCUGAGUUUUGGCAUGGUGGGGCCAGGCUUUUCAUUUUUUGUCUAGCUGUUACCUUCACCUUUAGGUGAUAAGAAAUGAAUACAACUGAAAACUGCUGAAUGAAAUGAGAGAAACCUGAAGAAAUCAGGGGGUGAUAGAACCUGGUUCAGUCUAUCAUGGGGCACCCAUGGCUAAAACCAGUGCCACCCUGUGCCCCAGGGUGAUAUAUUUGUUGUACCUGGAGAAUGGUAGCAGCUCCCAUCACAAAAAGGUCAUUUCACUCCCCUCCUCAUCUGAAAUUUGCUUAGCCCUAUAGAUAUGUGAGGAAACUGGUUAUACACUUUAACACAUUUCCUGAAAAUCAUCUCUAUAUGGGGAAGAGUGGUUCUUACUGCAGUUCAUGAAGAGUGAGGCCUUCUAGAGCCUUUGGCAGGAGAUAAGUCCUUGAUCAUAUGUGCCUUGAAAACAAAGAGAAACAAGGGAACACCUAAAGCCAUGAGUCUGACUGAAUGAGAACGCAUUGGUGUUUACUUUGAAUUACUUGUAGAUGUGGCAGAUACUGGCUUUUCAAGUGCUUCAUGCUCAGUGUGCUGCAGAAAUUGAAGCAGUAUUUUUCAUCCUUCAUCUCCCUGAUCUUCAACAUAAAAAGAUGAACUGUUUAAAAACACGAGAUGGAAUAGGCAAAAAACAAAACAAAACAAAACAAAAAAAACCCAAAAAAUAGAACAACAAAAGAAAAGAACACAACACUGAGACAGCUGCACAGACCAACAGCUGUGACACACACAGGAAAUUUGGAUGGAAAGAACCAUUAGUGCAUUGAGACCAUCUCCUCUCCUGUUAGCGGGGCCAGCCCCCUUCUCGCAGACUUUGCGAAAGCAGCUACUUCGUAUCAGAUAUGAUAUAAGUGGCUCUCAGAUUUUGUGCUUCCUUAGUAGAAUCUCAGGGAAAAAGCCUUUUCAGAGUUCAGUUCCUGCUUCACCUUUUCUUGUGCUCAUUGUGCAACAGAAACAGGCCUCUUCUCUGUAUUUAAGAAACUGCUCAGACUACCAUUUUGUGCUGCAUUAUCCAAAUAAUGAUGUUCUUUUGUUGUUCUACAGCAGAUUCAAUUGCAUAACAAAGCCCAUCCUAGGAUGGCUACAAGAUGACUAGAGACAGCUAUUUUGCAGCCAACCUGUUAAAUGAUUGACGUAUGUCUUAAAGGUUGGAGAAAAUAAAUAGCUGGCAAGACUGUAUGUGCCUUUUGGACAGCUGGGCACAUCUCCCAUUAAGCCUCAAAUAUUAUAGAUCCAUUUUGCAGACCAUAUGUUUAUCCUUUCAGCUCCUUAGGAACAGAGAGUAUUACACAGAUGGUAAACACAAGCUCAAAUUUUAGAGACUGUGUGGUAAGUCUGCACUGUCGUCAUCCUGAUUUCUCACUGAUAAGCUGACCAGUUUCAAGUAAUUUCCAAUGAUAACAUCCAAAAUAAGCGCUCCAUGUGUAGCUGGGUAAAUCUCAUGGCCAGUCAAUGUCCAAAAUUAUUAAAUUAAUCUAUCCAAAACAAAAAAAUGCUAAUGUUAUUGCAAACUAUUAAAGAUACUUGAUGGAAUGUGGGGUUUGGGUUUGGUUGUUUUUCUAGGACUUUUUUUUUUUACUUUUUUUUUUUUUUUCUUUUCAAAGAGCGCUAGCUGGAAAACUAUUUUUGCACUGACAAAUUAAGAGAUCUGAAGUAUUGUCUGGCUCUUGAGCACAGUCUGUCAUCUCCCACAUCUUGCCAAACACAGAAAACCAUGUGUUUUCUGUCAGAGUCCCACAACAAACCAUGUGGAAAACAAAGGGCUAUAAAUAACUCCUCCUCAACAUGAAAGGUGACUAAUCUGCUGCUUCCAAUAAUAUCACCCCCCACUCUCCAAAAUCCCCAAAUUUUCUUUACCUUUACCUGUCUUUGUGCUGAAGCCACACUGUGGCUCUCCUCUCUUUAGAGAUAUCAUUGCUACUUGUUGCUCUUUCAAUCCUCAGUGCUUGCAAAAAUACCACUUUAAUUGAUUAACAUGUCCAUUGUCUCUGCGGAAAGGUAGAUUUCAUAAAAGAGCAUGGAAUUUUAAACGCUAGCUUUGGAGAGUGUGUGCUUGAGGUCUUGUUUGUUAUCCAGGAUGCUGGGUUAAUUUACUAGUUCCCCAGCCAAUUCAUUUGCAUUCCCUAUGCCUUUAUUUCCCCGGUCAGACAUGGGGUGGGGGUGGGGAAACGCAUAUUCAGUGCCUUGUUUGAAACAAUAUGCUGCAUUUAAAAAACACUAAAACGUUGUGAGAUCCGUUGAUAAAAAUAUGAUAAAAUAAGCACUAAAUGCUACUACCACAAAGCAAAGAGUCAGCUACAAUUGCUUUACAGAGCUUAAAAUCCAUACAGGUCUGGAAAAAUAAGCAGGGAAGGAUUUCCUCCAGCUGUCUCUCCUGUCACUCUCCAUCAGCCAGGGGACACGAUUCACCCACUCCUUCUUGAAUCUGACCAACAUUUAAUGGAAAUAUGGUGCCAAAACCAGUGUUGUCUUUAUAUGUAUAUGCUAAAUAUUUCAAAAGUGUGAUUUUAACUAAACAUUUAGUGGUGAAUAAGUCUUUUUAUUUUGUGCUGUACUUUAGUAUGCAAUGGGCCAAACAAUGACAGUCCAACUGAACAAGACAGAUGAUAUCAUCUGUUGUUAAAAAUAAACUGUUCACGUUGCCUAAGUCACACGAUUAAUGGAAGUCACUUGCUGUAUUGUUAAAAGUUAUCUUCUUUUGCUCAGCAGUAAUUCUUUUCAAUAAUAUCUAUUCCUCCACUAUCACAUUUGAUUUAAAGUCUUCUCUGGCACAGGUAUCCUAAAGCUGUGCUCACCUACAGCCAAAAUAACAAUAGCACCAGUAACAAUUUUGUAAUGUGUUGAAACUCAGCAUCGUGUAAAAAACAGCAUUUCACAAUUUUGGAGUAGUUUGUUAUUUUGAAUUCAUUAUGUAUUUUGAUAACCCCAGGGUGAGUCAUAGCAGGGAAGGCUGUUAGUUGAUGAAGAACUGAAAUCUUUAUUGCUAUUCCACAUUUUCUUUUUGGCUUUGUCUGUUUAGUUGGCAAGUUGUAAAAUAAGAAUUAGGAAGAGAACGACUGAAGAAGAAUAUUCCACUGCAAAAAAGGUCUUUUCAUCUGUGAUUUUUCCUUGAUUUUUCUAACUGAUGUCACAGUUUCAAAUUGAAUUUGUGUAGAAGAUCUAUAGGUGUUUUUUCUUCAUAAAUUCAUUUAAAAAGUCAACAUUGGGAUUUUUUCCCUUCAUAUCUAGCAAUUCUAUAGGGAGUCUAUGCAUUAGUUUACGGUAGGCAAGUUAUACCCCAAUCAUCUAUGAAAAUACGAAUCCAUAAAGCAAAUAUUUCCACAUAAAACACUAAAUAUUUAUGACUUGAUACUUAGAAAAUGAUGAUAAUGUGAAGCUUUUGGAUAGAUUUAUAAUAAUCUCUUCCUUUUCUUGUGUUUUUCCAGGCCCCUCAGACUUCCUCCUCGACAUAGCUUACCCUCGUUGUGUCAUCUGAAAUCCAGGAUUCCUGUGUAUUCUCUGUAUUUCAUUCCUCUGUAGUUCCUUGUCUCUGGCCAUCAGUGCCUCCCUGACUCUAAGCAACCCCUGCCUCUUUCUGUUCUCACCUGUAUUCUCCUGUUUUUCUGUGUUGUCAAAUGCUUUCCAAAUCCUAGCCCAUGUCUCGUUUUCCAUGUACCUGCUCAAAAUUGGUUUGUGGGGAGUCCGGUUACAGCACUGGAAAGACAAAGCAUAGUUCAGCUCCAUAUACAGGCUUGGGAAUAAAGCCUGUUGUAACUAAGCACGCUAACAAAACAUUUUUGCAGUGCAAAUAAGUCCUCUGUGUGGGAGGCCAACUUUUAAAAUGUGCAGUGUGGCAUUUUAAAAUUCCCUUGGGGCUCUGACCUUGUAGGCAGAUGUCUUAGACACUGGUAAUGUGUCUAAGUGACUUUUCACAGUGAUCUGUCCAGACAGCAUCUGCUCAGCAAAACUGUCUUUUAGCAGACCAGUACAGGACAGCAUCUAAUCUCACUUAUUUCAUCCUAGUCUGAAUGAGGAGAACACAGCCUGCUUCACCUGAAGCACCUCUGCAGGAAGAGCUAGGAAAAAAAUCAGUGGCUUCAUUCUGACACAAGCAGACUCUUCAAGCUGCCCUACCAUGAUGACAGAAAGCUUCUGAAGGAAAAAGAUACUGAGAUUCCAGAGGAACUCAUGCCAGAAGAUGAGAACACCAAUCAAUUAGGAAUACAGAAACCUAAAGUCACUUCUGGAGAAAUGAGGAUGAAGAGGUUUUGCGGCACGAGGAAGGCGAGAGGAGGUCCCUGUGCCUGGCUCCUGUUGCCUCAUCGCUGUUGUAACAAAAUCCCAGCUCUUGGCCCCAGCCCGUGGGACUCUGGCUGAACCACACUGCUCACUGCCUGCUCACAGAACGUCACUGCAGCUGAGAAUUCAGCCACCAGCUGUGGAAAAGCUCCAUUGGAUGCACAGCGUGGUAGCUGCUGCCGCUUGGUGGCAUGAACUACUGACUGCACAUUUCAUCCAUAGCGCUCUCUGUGCUGGCUUACAGCAGGAUACAAACUGAAACUGAAAUCCUGCAUUCCCGAGGUCAAAGCAAACCCAUUUGCUUCACUGAACCCGGAAUACCACUAUGGAUCCCAGUACCCCCAAAUUCUCAACGGGGCUCAAUCACCUAGGAAAGCAAUGGUGACCAUCGCGGAUAUGAUCUGGCAGCACAGGGAGCUGUGCUCUGCAAGGCAGUUGUUCAGGCAAUGGAAAGCGUCUGUGAAACACAGGAGCCAUAACUGCAGAACCAAGCGCCAACUAUUUUUCCUAUGAAAAUUUGCUUUCAGAAUUCAGUGCCCACUAUAAACAUUCUGCUUGCAAAGUGAGAAAGAUAAAGCUUCUCAAACAUC